rnacentral:rRNA from 1 species
GAUGAACGCUGGCGGCGUGCUUAACACAUGCAAGUCGAACGAUGAAGCCCAGCUUGCUGGGUGGAUUAGUGGCGAACGGGUGAGUAACACGUGAGUAACCUGCCCUUAACUCUGGGAUAAGCCUGGGAAACUGGGUCUAAUACCGGAUAGGAGCGUCCACCGCAUGGUGGGUGUUGGAAAGAUUUAUCGGUUUUGGAUGGACUCGCGGCCUAUCAGCUUGUUGGUGAGGUAAUGGCUCACCAAGGCGACGACGGGUAGCCGGCCUGAGAGGGGGACCGGCAACACUGGGACUGAGACACGGCCCAGACUCCUACGGGAGGCAGCAGUGGGGAAUAUUGCACAAUGGGCGAAAGCCUGAUGCAGCGACGCCGCGUGAGGGAUGACGGCCUUCGGGUUGUAAACCUCUUUCAGUAGGGAAGAAGCGAAAGUGACGGUACCUGCAGAAGAAGCACCGGCUAACUACGUGCCAGCCGCCGCCGUAG